AGCAUUAAAACACCGGUUACAGUAGAUCACCAAAGUUAAGCAACGUCGAGCCUGGUCAGUACCUAGAUGGGUGACCGGUUGGGAAUACCGGCUGGUGUA